CAGCAGCCCUCCAGUCAGCCGCGCGGUUCGCAAUCCCCCGCCUCUCUGCUGGACGUCUAUUCAGGGAGACAACAGCGGCGACAUCCGGUCUUGAUUGAAGAAGAUGAACUCAAGAUCAUAUUUGGGGUACACAGGAUUUUUCCAGGCGUGUCUAUACCCCCUCCCAUACUCCCCACCACCUCCACCUUCCUGGGGGGACCACUCCUAAAGUUGACUAGCUAAAUAUGAAACAAAUGAUCUAUAAUCAGUGGGGGAGAUAUGGCUCUCUGCCAAAGGCAGCAUGCCCUGGGAGGCAUCAUGAGUUAAAAAAAAUAAAUAAAUGUUGCAUAUUUUUCCAAUUUGGAAUACAGAACGUUUUGCUUCAAACAUGUAAUGUCACUGCUUUGUAAUAUUUUCGAUAUACCUACAUUUCGCAUGUUGACAGUAUGUGUUACACUUUAGGCAUGCAAAAUGAUAUAAGUCAUUCGAUAUAUCCAAAAACAUUUUGUGCUGAGAGGUGAGUUUGCGAUGUUUAUUUUUUAGAUGUUUAUGUAUUGGUUAUCUACAACCACACACAAAACAAUGAAAAAUAAAACAUUUUACAUGUGACAUAUAUUUCUUUGGAAACAAUGCAUUAAAAAUGGCAGCAC